rnacentral:rRNA from 1 species
UGCCAGCAGCCGCGGUAAUACAGAGGUGGCAAGCGUUGUUCGGUAUCACUGGGCUUAAAGGGCACGUAGGCGGCAUGGCGCGGUUCGGGUGAAAUCCCUCGGCUCAACCGAGGAACUGCCUGGGCAACGGCCAAGCUAGACGGCAUCAGGGGAAGGUGGAACUCCCGGUGGAGCGGUGAAAUGUGUAGAUAUCGGGAGGAACGCCGGUGGCGAAAGCGACCUUCUGGGGUGCUUGUGACGCUGAGGUGCGAAAGCUAGGGGAGCGAACGGGAUUAGAUA